rnacentral:rRNA from 1 species
CAGUAGCCGCGGGAAUACGUAGGUGGCAAGCGUUGUCCGGAAUUAUUGGGCGUAAAGCGCGCGCAGGUGGUUUAAUAAGUCUGAUGCGAAAGCCCACGGCUCAACCGUGGAGGGUCAUUGGAAACUGUUAAACUUGAGUGCAGGAGAGAAAAGUGGAAUUCCUAGUGUAGCGGUGAAAUGCGUAGAGAUUAGGAAGAACACCGGUGGCGAAGGCGACUUUCUGGACGAAAACUGACGCUGAGGCGCGAAAGCGUGGGGAGCGAACAGGAUUAGAUACCCCUGUAGUCCCUGUCUCUUAUAU